GCUCACGGCCCAGGCCGCUACCUGCUGCUGCGUGAAGAAGUCCUUGACCAGGGCGCCCAUGACCUGCUGGGGAGAGCGCACCGUGCUGAGAUGCCUACCUUACACGGCCCACUCCGGGUGCCCACGGCCCUGUCCCUGAGAUGCCUUGGGCUCAUGCGCAGCCUGGCUGCCACAUGCAGCUCCCACAGGAUGUGCAGAGAGGAGUCCCUGCCCCCAGCUCCACCGGAGCUCGCGUGCCAGUGUCUGUGGGAUCCAGCUGAAACCUCACUGCCAGGGACGCCGUGGACUGAGGAGAGAUUGACACCACCAGCAGCCGCUGCUCAC